rnacentral:rRNA from 1 species
GACGAACGCUGGCGGCGUGCUUAACACAUGCAAGUCGAACGGAAAGGCCCUGCUUUUGUGGGGUGCUCGAGUGGCGAACGGGUGAGUAACACGUGAGUAACCUGCCCUUGACUUUGGGAUAACUUCAGGAAACUGGGGCUAAUACCGGAUAGGAGCUCCUGCUGCAUGGUGGGGGUUGGAAAGUUUCGGCGGUUGGGGAUGGACUCGCGGCUUAUCAGCUUGUUGGUGGGGUAGUGGCUUACCAAGGCUUUGACGGGUAGCCGGCCUGAGAGGGUGACCGGCCACAUUGGGUCUGAGUUACGGCCCAGACUCCUUCGGGCGGCAGCAGUGGGGAAUAUUGCACAAUGGGCGGAAGCCUGAUGCAGCAACGCCGCGUGCGGGAUGACGGCCUUCGGGUUGUAAACCGCUUUCGCCUGUGACGAAGCGUGAGUGACGGUAAUGGGUAAAGAAGCACCGGCUACCUACGU